rnacentral:sRNA from 1 species
GCCAGGUGUGGUGGCGCCUGCCUGUGAUCCCAGCGGCUCAGGAGGCUGAGGCAGGAGGAUCACGAGUUCAAAGCCAGCCUCAGCAAAAGUGAGGUGUUAAGCAACUCAGUGAGACCCUGUCUCUA